AGAGUUUGAUCAUGGCUCAGGAUGAACGCUAGCGGCAGGCUUAACACAUGCAAGUCGAGGGGUAUAGGUUUUCGGACCUAGAGACCGGCGCACGGGUGCGUAACGCGUAUGCAAUCUGCCUUUUACAGAGGGAUAGCCCAGAGAAAUUUGGAUUAAUACCUCAUAGUAUUAUUGAAUGGCAUCAUUUAAUAAUUAAAGUCACAACGGUAAAAGAUGAGCAUGCGUCCCAUUAGCUUGUUGGUAAGGUAACGGCUUACCAAGGCAACGAUGGGUAGGGGUCCUGAGAGGGAGAUCCCCCACACUGGUACUGAGACACGGACCAGACUCCUACGGGAGGCAGCAGUGAGGAAUAUUGGUCAAUGGGCGCAAGCCUGAACCAGCCAUGCCGCGUGCAGGAUGACGGUCCUAUGGAUUGUAAACUGCUUUUGUACAGGAAGAAACAUCUCUACGUGUAGAGACUUGACGGUACUGUAAGAAUAAGGAUCGGCUAACUCCGUGCCAGCAGCCGCGGUAAUACGGAGGAUCCAAGCGUUAUCCGGAAUCAUUGGGUUUAAAGGGUCCGUAGGCGGUUUUGUAAGUCAGUGGUGAAAGCCCAUCGCUCAACGGUGGAACGGCCAUUGAUACUGCAAGACUUGAAUUAUUAGGAAGUAACUAGAAUAUGUAGUGUAGCGGUGAAAUGCUUAGAGAUUACAUGGAAUACCAAUUGCGAAGGCAGGUUACUACUAAUGGAUUGACGCUGAUGGACGAAAGCGUGGGGAGCGAACAGGAUUAGAUACCCUAGUAGUCC
rnacentral:rRNA from 1 species